GACGAACGCUGGCGGCGUGCUUAACACAUGCAAGUCGAACGGAAAGGCCCUGCUUUUGUGGGGUGCUCGAGUGGCGAACGGGUGAGUAACACGUGAGUAACCUGCCCUUGACUUUGGGAUAACUUCAGGAAACUGGGGCUAAUACCGGAUAGGAGCUCCUGCUGCAUGGUGGGGGUUGGAAAGUUUCGGCGGUUGGGGCUGGACUCGCGGCUUAUCAGCUUGUUGGUGGGGUAGUGGCUUACCAAGGCUUUGACGGGUAGCCGGCCUGCGAGGGUGACCGGCCACAUUGGGACUGAGAUACGGCCCAGACUCCUACGGGAGGCAGCAGUGGGGAAUAUUGCACAAUGGGCGGAAGCCUGAUGCAGCAACGCCGCGUGCGGGAUGACGGCCUUCGGGUUGUAAACCGCUUUCGCCUGUGACGAAGCGUGAGUGACGGUAAUGGGUAAAGAAGCACCGGCUAACUACGUG
rnacentral:rRNA from 1 species